ACCCUUUGUGACAUACCUACAACUGUUGCUUCGGCGGGUAGGCCGUCCCCUGAAAAGGACGCCUCCCGGCCCGGACCGGACCCCCCGCGGGACCGGACCCGGCGCCCGCCGGAGGAUAACCAAACUCUAUUGUAACGACGUUUCUUCUGAGUGGCAUAAGCAAAAUAAUCAAAACUUUUAACAACGGAUCUCUUGGUUCUGGCAUCGAUGAAGAACGCAGCGAAAUGCGAUAAGUAAUGUGAAUUGCAGAAUUCAGUGAAUCAUCGAAUCUUUGAACGCACAUUGCGCCCGCCAGCAUUCUGGCGGGCAUGCCUGUUCGAGCGUCAUUUCAACCCUCAAGCUCUGCUUGGUGUUGGGGCUCUACGGUCGACGUAGGCCCUCAAAGGUAGUGGCGGACCCUCCCGGAGCCUCCUUUGCGUAGUAACAUUUCGUCUCGCACUGGGAUCCGGAGGGACUCUUGCCGUAAAACCCCCCAAUUUUCCAAAGGUUGACCUCGGAUCAGGUAGGAAUACCCGCUGAACUUAAGCAUAUCAAUAAGCGGAGGAA
rnacentral:rRNA from 1 species